rnacentral:snRNA from 1 species
ACCGCCAAGUGUAAAGGUAAAA